rnacentral:rRNA from 1 species
GUAUGCGAUCAUAUUUAGCACUAGUGCACGGGAUUCCAUCGGAACUCUGAAGUUAAGCGUGCUUGGGAGAUGAUGGUAGUAAGACGAGCUUUGUCGCAGGAC